GAUGAACGCUAGCUACAGGCUUAACACAUGCAAGUCGAGGGGAAACGACAUCGAAAGCUUGCUUUUGAUGGGCGUCGACCGGCGCACGGGUGAGUAACGCGUAUCCAACCUGCCCAUCACUUGGGAAUAACCUUGCGAAAGUAAGACUAAUACCCAAUGACAUCCCACGAAGACAUCUGAAUGGGAUUAAAGAUUUAUCGGUGAUGGAUGGGGAUGCGUCUGAUUAGCUUGUUGGCGGGGUAACGGCCCACCAAGGCAACGAUCAGUAGGGGUUCUGAGAGGAAGGUCCCCCACAUUGGAACUGGGACACGGUCCACACUCCUACGGGAGGCAGCAGUGAGGAAUAUUGGUCAAUGGGCGAGAGCCUGAACCAGCCAAGUAGCGUGCAGGAUGACGGCCCUAUGGGUUGUAAACUGCUUUUAUAAGGGAAUAAAGUGGGUCUCGUGAGACUUUUUGCAUGUACCUUAUGAAUAAGGACCGGCUAAUUCCGUG
rnacentral:rRNA from 1 species